rnacentral:lncRNA from 1 species
AAUCAAUUCCAACUCGUCUCGCUAUAAAUUUUUAUAACAAUAUUUCAUCGUUGUAUUUUUGGGUAAACUUCAAAUACCCUCUUGUGGUUUCACACUUUCUUACUUAAGUACCCUGUGAUUUAAAGUGUAUCAAGUUAGCCCCUGUGGUUUCACAUUUUUUUACUUUAGUACCCUAUAGUUUAAAGUGUAUCAAGUUAGUACUCUGCGGUUUUAUUUUUGUAUCAAGUUAGUACAAUAUAGUUUCAUUUUUCUCUUUUUUUUAUCCAUUUCGGAGUAUUUUUUUCGUUAAAUCAGUGACAAAAUUAAAACUAAAGAGUACUAAAAUGAAUAUUCGAUUAACGUAAGUAAGGUAUCUGGAGUUUUUUGUAUAUAAUUUAACGAAAUAUUAAACCACAGAGUAUUAAAGUGAGAAAAUGCGAAACCACAGGGUACUAACUUGAUACACUUUAAACCAUAGGGUAUUAAAGUGAGAAAAUGUGAAACCACGGGGUACUAACUUGAUACAACUUAAACCACAUAGUAGUAAAGUAAGAAAGUGCAAAACACAAAGGGAUAUUUGAAGUUUUCCCUUUUAAAUAAUUAUAUAUAUA